CGAGCAACUACACAAAGGUGAACGAAUAUCCGUACGCUGAUCUCCAUCAGCAUCAGCACCAUCACUUCGCUAGCACAGCGCCCCUGACCAGCGCCGAUAGCUUCAAGCUGCGCUCCGAGGAGCCGGUGCCGGGCUUCAGCUCGGCCUCGCCGUGGCCCACUCUGGAGCUGGGCAUGGAAUGGGGACGCAAGCUCUAUCCCACCGCGGGACCCCGAUCCGCUGGCGGCCUGAUGUUCAGCCUGCCGCCCACAGCGGCGGACAUGAACCAGCCGCGCGGCCCGAUGACAUCCCUCAAAGAGGAGCCCCUCGGCGGACGUUGGGCCAUGCAGCCAGUCGUCGAUCAGAGCAACCUGGGCAUUGGCCGCGCCCACUUUGAGAAACAGCCGCCCAGCAAUUUGCGUAAAUCGAAUUUCUUUCACUUUGUGAUUGCGCUCUACGAUCGCGCCGGGCAGCCCAUCGAGAUCGAGAGAACGGCCUUCAUUGGCUUCAUCGAGAAGGACUCCGAAUCGGAUGCCACAAAGACCAACAAUGGCAUCCAGUACCGACUGCAGUUGCUCUACGCGAAUGGUGCCCGACAGGAACAGGACAUAUUUGUGAGGCUCAUCGAUUCAGUAACCAAAGCGGCCAUCAUCUACGAGGGCCAGGAUAAAAACCCGGAGAUGUGCCGUGUCCUGCUGACGCACGAGGUGAUGUGCAGCCGCUGCUGUGAUAAGAAGAGCUGUGGUAACCGCAACGAGACGCCAUCGGAUCCCGUCAUUAUUGAUCGCUUUUUCCUGAAGUUCUUCUUAAAGUGCAAUCAGAACUGUCUCAAAAAUGCUGGCAACCCACGGGACAUGCGAAGAUUUCAGGUUGUAAUCGCCACCCAAGUGGCCGUUGACAGAGAACUGCUGGCCAUCUCGGACAAUAUGUUCGUGCACAAUAACUCGAAGCACGGACGCCGCGCCAAGCGACUGGACACCACGGAAGGUACAGGCAACACAUCCCUGUCCAUAUCCGGUCACCCCCUAGCGCCCGACAGUACCUACGAUGGCCUCUAUCCACCCUUGCCCGUGGCCACGCCCUGCAUCAAGGCGAUAUCACCCAGCGAGGGCUGGACCACAGGUGGCGCCACAGUCAUCAUUGUGGGCGACAAUUUCUUUGACGGCCUGCAAGUGGUAUUCGGCACAAUGUUGGUCUGGAGCGAGCUGAUCACGUCGCACGCGAUAAGGGUGCAAACCCCACCGCGACAUAUACCCGGCGUGGUCGAGGUGACGCUCUCCUACAAGAGCAAACAGUUCUGCAAAGGCUCACCCGGUCGCUUCGUCUAUGUCUCAGCUCUCAACGAACCCACAAUCGACUACGGCUUCCAGCGACUGCAGAAGCUCAUACCCAGGCAUCCCGGCGAUCCGGAGAAACUGCAGAAGGAAAUCAUACUUAAGCGCGCCGCAGAUCUCGUCGAGGCACUCUACUCCAUGCCCAGCAGAUCGCCCGGCGGCUCCACCAGCUUUAACUCAUACGCCGGCCAGCUGGCGGUGAGCGUGCAGGACGGCAGCGGCCAGUGGACCGAGGAUGACUAUCAGCGCGCCCAAUCGAGCAGCGUCAGUCCACGCGGCGGCUACUGCAGCAGCGCCUCAACGCCACACAGCUCGGGUGGCUCGUAUGGCGCCACAGCAACCACCGCUGCCGUUGCAGCCACCGCGAAUGGCUACGCGCCCGCACCGAAUAUGGGUACUCUAUCCUCAUCGCCAGGCAGCGUCUUCAACUCGACUUCAAUGACGACGCCUUGGCAUUCGGCUCUAGUGCAACACCAUCAUGCCACCGCCGCAGUCGCCCACCCGCAUCACUAUCCGCAUCCGCAUCAGCCGUGGCACAAUCCCGCCGUGUCAGCAGCGACUGCGACGGCCGUUUAAGGACUGCAGGAUGAGGCGACCUCACUGAUUGCUUGGAGCUUGGAGCAGGGAUGAGGAAACAGCCAAUACACCUACACACGCACACCCAAGCAUACACACAGAGCACUAUCUUAUCGGCAACGACGCCCCCUAAAUGCUUAAUCAACAAUGGGCGCCAUCUGUUGGUCGGUAGCAGCAGCAGCUGCUAUGAUAACAGUGAAUAUCAUCAACUCCAGUUCCAAUUCCAAUUCCAGUUCCUGCGACAAUUGCAUUGCGUGAGUGUUUACGAUUCCGUCGUCGUGUCUGUCAUAAAAAACAUACACAACAGCUACAACAACAACAACAACAAUACACUACCAACACACGUUUAACGGAGUCAGCAGCUUGAGCUUCAAUCCAUUUGCCCUGCCCACCUGCAACA